rnacentral:rRNA from 1 species
UUCCGGUUGAUCCUGCCGGAGUCACUGCUAUUGGGAUUCGACUAAGCCAUGCGAGUCGCGAGGGUUCGGCCCUCGGCUGACGGCUCAGUAACACGCGGAUAAUCUGCCCUUAGGUGGAGGAUAACCUCGGGAAACUGAGAAUAAGACUCCAUAGAUCUAGGAGGCUGGAAUGCACUUAGAUUUAAAACUUCGGUGCCUAAGGAUGAGUCUGCGGACUAUCAGGUAGUAGUCAGGGUAAUGACCUGACCAGCCUAUGACGGAUACGGGUUGUGAGAGCAAUAACCCGGAGAUGAUAUCUGAGACACGAUAUCAGGCCCUACGGGGCGCAGCAGGCGCGAAAACUUCACACUGUGCGAAAGCACGAUGAGGGAAUCCCAAGUGCUGGCUCGUAAGAGUCAGCUGUUUUUCUGUCUAGAAAACAGAGAGAGUAAGAGCUGGGUAAGACGGGUGCCAGCCGCCGCGGUAAUACCUGCAGCUCAAGUGGUGGCCGCUAUUAUUGGGCCUAAAACGUUCGUAGCCGGUCUAGUAAAUGCCUGGGUAAAUCAUACGGCUUAACCGUAUGAAUUCCGGGUAGACUGCUGGACUUGGGACUGGGAGAGGCUAGAGGUACUCCUGGGGUAGAGGUGAAAUUCUGUAAUCCUAGGGGGACGACCAGUGGCGAAGGCGUCUAGCUAGAACAGGUCUGACGGUGAGGAACGAAGCCCUGGGGCGCAAACGGGAUUAGAUACCCCGGUAGUCCAGGGUGUAAACGCUGCUUGCUUGAUGUUAGUCGGGCUCCGAGCCCGAUUAGUGUCGGAGAGAAGUUGUUAAGCAAGCUGCCUGGGGAGUACGGCCGCAAGACUGAAACUUAAAGGAAUUGGCGGG